rnacentral:rRNA from 1 species
AUUGAACGCUGGCGGCAGGCCUAACACAUGCAAGUCGAACGGUAACAGGAAGAAGCUUGCUUCUUUGCUGACGAGUGGCGGACGGGUGAGUAAUGUCUGGGAAACUGCCUGAUGGAGGGGGAUAACUACUGGAAACGGUAGCUAAUACCGCAUAACGUCGCAAGACCAAAAAGGGGGACCUUCGGGCCUCUUGCCAUCUGAUGUGCCCAGAUGGGAUUAGCUAGUAGGUGGGGUAACGGCUCACCUAGGCGACGAUCCCUAGCUGGUCUGAGAGGAUGACCAGCCACACUGGAACUGAGACACGGUCCAGACUCCUACGGGAGGCAGCAGUGGGGAAUAUUGCACAAUGGGCGCAAGCCUGAUGCAGCCAUGCCGCGUGUAUGAAGAAGGCCUUCGGGUUGUAAAGUACUUUCAGCGGGGAGGAAGGGAGUAAAGUUAAUACCUCUGCUCAUUGACGGUACCCGCAGAAGAAGCACCGGCUAACUCCGUG